UCCGGUGAUUAUAGCGAGGGGGUCACACCCGAUCCCAUUCCGAACUCGGCAGUUAAGCCCCUCAGCGCCGAUGGUACUUCACACUAUGGUGUGUGGGAGAGUAGGACGUUGCCGGAU
rfam:Deltaproteobacteria bacterium RIFCSPHIGHO2_02_FTLL_44_16 rifcsphigho2_02_scaffold_10241, whole genome shotgun sequence.